UCAGAAUUAUAGUUCGGCCGUUCAGAGAAUGCGUUCCUGACACCUAUCAGUUAGUCAGGACUAGUGAUGGGCACAACAUAACACUGAGUUCGUUACCGUUCCUCCAAAAUGAACCGCCGCAUUAUUUUAAGAUUAUUUUCGUUUUAAAUUGGCGGAAUCAUUUAAAAUUUAUAUUUUAGUUAUUUAAGUGGAAACCAAAAAAAGUUACAAUCUGUAUUUCUAUGCAAUAAAGUAAGUACAUUGAA